UACGAGGGGGGCAAGCGUUGUUCGGAAUUAUUGGGCGUAAAGGGUGCGUAGGCGGUUUGAUAAGUCAUCUGUGAAAUCUCUGGGCUCAACCCAGAAGUCUGCAGGCGAAACUGUCGGGCUUGAGUAUGGGAGAGGUGAGUGGAAUUUCCGGUGUAGCGGUGAAAAUGCGUAGAUAUCGGAAAGAACACCAACGGCGAAAGCACUCUGCUGGGCCGACACUGACACUGGAGAGACGAAAGCUAGGGGAGCGAAUGGG
rnacentral:rRNA from 1 species